CUUUAAAUAAGCGUGGCUUAUUGGCAAUCUGUAAUAGGGUUAGAGACCCCACCCCUCUUUGUUACCUUGCUACAAUUGACUUCAGUAACAUUUUGGAUUGUGUACAUUUCUAGAGACAAGAUCAAGUUUUCCUUCCUUAGACUUGGCUACGUUUCAGUCUUUACUCUGUAAAUAACUCCAUAAAUAUAAAAUAGAAAUUGGUUCCCAAAUCUCUUGGAUUUGUUCAGUUCACUGCACGCACUAAAUCCACUGAAGACACACGACAUGUUCAGAAUGAGCUUUAUUCCAUUUAGUCGCUCAGACGAGUGCUUGCAAAAAUAUACGUUAUUGCAUUUUUAAGAAGAGAAGGUGAAAAUCCUGUACUGUGUGUUCAGAUGUUCAAAAGUUCAGAAGUUUCUAAGCAUUUUAAUGUACCUUAUAUAACACACACACACACACACACACACACACACACACACACACAUAUAGUUUUAAAUUCUUAUAACAAAAUUUAAAUUAUGUAUACAGCAUAAGCUUCUUUUCUUUGCUUGACUCUAUGCUGAACUCAGUCGGUGACUUAAUUACACCAGGACAAGUGUUUGAUUGAACGAUGACGCUAGUGAUUGUCUAGUUGUGUCUUGAAACAUCCGUGUUGAGAAAUUCAGACAGACUGGGAUCAGUGAACACAUGGUCAUGUUACUCUGAUACUCGCAGUCAACAUGUUGCAGAUCCUCGGCACAGGAAAAAAUGUGCACAAAGAACUCCAGAGAUUGUUCUGCAAAUUCUCCCUCAUUUGUGGUUAUAUUUCGCUGUUUUCUAACUGUGUUGAAUCCAAUCAUCAGGAAACAUGAAAGAAGAUAAAAGAGGAUGACGACUAGUCGAGGACGAUUCACUCCAACAUCAUCUAGACAGAAUGAGAGAAUCAAUCAUUCCAUCUGAACAAUUCAUCACUCAAACACACACUUGAUGUUGGCGGCUUUAUAUUUUCUCAACACUCACCUGUGGUGUUUAACCUUUCUGAAAGGUCCUGUAGGGGAGUUUCUUAAGGAGAAAAGGAAAAAUAGGAAUAUUAAUGAUUUCAUUUUAAUAUGGUCACAGAUCUACACAAUAAUAAUGAUUAAUGAAGCUCUAUAGACGAGUGCAUCAUAACAAAUACGUAUAUUAUUACACACAUACGAUAUAUACAGUACACAACCUUUUCAGAGAUAUGACCUGAUGGAAUUAAAAAGUGGGUGGAGCAAAAAGACGACUUCGAUAUUUUUAAUAAUGUGGUGGUUAAUAAACAAGCAAAUCUACAGAAAAACAUUUUACUGUUGAAUUCAGAGAUUCAAGAUGAUGAUGAAGAGAUGAAGAGCAGAUGUUAGAGAUGAAAUCAUUUCAUAAUAAAUGUUUGAUGCACCGUAGUUUCUGAUUUAGACUGAAGUGAAAGCUGCACCAUUCACUUUGUGGUUAAUAAAUGCAGUGAUUGUAAAGUUUCGAACUGAUUUAUAUUCACUCACCACUGGCAGAUGAAGUUUCCAGCUGAUUCUCUUUGAGUGGAAAUAACGAAAAUGAAUGCUUAAUUUUGACACCAUUAUGCUUUCCUCCUUUAUGUAGUUCUCAUCCAGUCACUGUAUGAACUUCAGGACAGCUCUCAAUGUUUCUGUCUCGAAACUUGCUCAGUUCAUUAGAUGUUUGAACACAUGGUGGUGAUGAAAUAUUUAUCUGCUU